ensembl:lncRNA
CCACAUAUAGAAAAGGAAACUUAGGCACAUAUAGGUUAAAUAAUUUGGCCAAGUGUCAUAGCUAGUAAAUGGUAGAGCUUGGAUUUGCAUCUAGGGAAUCUUGACUUCAAAAUCUAUGCACUUAUUCAUUGAUCUAUACAAGCCUGUCAAUAGUUUUUCCAUUACAAUGGAAUGAAGAUAUUACCUUUAAGAAAAAGGAAAUUCUGAGCUUCAUUUGGACAACUUAAAAUUCCAUUUGGGGUAGGUUUAAACAAAUGGCAAAGGUCCAUUAAAUAACCUUGAAUAAUUUGGUAUUUUAAAUCUAAUAAACCCAAGGAAAUACUCAAUUUCUUUAAUUGUUGUGUUAACUAACUGGAGUUUGGUAUUUGCCAUCACUUGCCGUCUGCAUCUACAUGGAUUAAAUCAUGAGCCACUGCCGCUAUAGACCCACAGGACCAUGAGUGGAGCUCAGAGCGGAGAUCAGGAACAAGGCACUCUGUGCUCUGGGAAAACUGGAAGAAGAGGUCUUCAGAUAGAUAUUUUUAGAUUUUAUGAACCCAAUUCUUACAUCUCAUCCUAUUUAGAAAAAAACCUUCAUGGUGAUGUCUGCUCCUUAUGACUAGUAGUAACCUUCAUAAAACCAGAAAAAAAAAUGUGUAAAAUGUGCAUGGCUGCAUGUAUCUCCCCCUUACCUUUAUCAUAUACACUAAUAUUAUUUCCUCCUGCCUCUUUGGAGUGGUAUUUCACAGUUAUCUAUGAAUGUAGCCACCUCCAAGGGUAAGUGGUGAGCCCUGGGGGCUGUAAAAACUCAGAAUAUUGGCCCAGAUAGCUGAGGUGCAUAUCACAGGAAUGAUUUCAGUGAGCCCAGACCUCUUUUGCUCCUGCUAUCUGCCCUUUGUUGCAAAAACUCCUAUAUAUCCUAGCUCGCCCCUCACCUCCUCAGAGCUGUUUUUCAGGGCUACCUGAGAUAUUGGCUCCUGGGCCCACGUCCUAAUUUUGCACCAAAUGAAACUUAACUUGCAACUUUCAGGUUGUCCAUUGUUUUUAAACAAUUGUUUUAAAAUUUUAUAGCAAUAUACAAUGAUAACUUCAACGUGUAUUAUUGUGGUUUUCUCAUGCAUUUUAGUAUGCAUAAUGCUCAUCUUUUUAAUCUAAAGUCACCUGAGUGUGAGAAGGAUGAAUUAAAAUUUCAAAUUGUAAUACAAACAUUAACAAUAAUAAUAAUGACUAAAAAACCACUUCAAAUAUAUUUUUAAAUUAUUCCGUGCUAUGUACUCUCUUCAACGCAUUUGAUGUGUAAUGAUACUGUAGAUCAAUACCCUUUCAACCAUUUCAACUUAUAGUGUGCUUUAUUGUGUGCUAAGUUAAAAAAACAUUUCAGUUUGGAUCCCAGAUUUCACUUAGCUUCUGCCCAUUGAGGCAGAAUACUAACUCAGUUAGUCAGUGUAGGAGCAUGGGCUUUGAUGCACUCUUUGAUAUGGCUGUUGAUUAGCAUUUGUGGUUUGAGGGCUCCAGAGAGUAAUUUCCCACAGGCGUUAUUUUAUUAUAGGAAGUGUACCUUCCCCACAGGCCUUGUUUACUAUGGGAAGUGUACCUACACCCACAGGACCUUAAUCUCUAACCCACUCCUCAACUGAUAAAAAAAGGAGUGAUAGGAAUGGUAACUCAGUCUAAAGGAAGAGAAGGACAAAGAAACCAUAAAACUUACAGGACUCUAAAAUCUCUAUUGGACAAGGACCGAUAUAGAUACCUGGCAAGGCCAAUGGGAGAAAAACCACAUCUUUCUGGAUCCCAUGUUUGUACCCCCCAGCUUUAAAGGAUAAAAACCCCUACAGGACAAUAGACAGUAGGGGAGGGGGGCUCUUCUCCCCCUUCCCAGCAGCCCUUGGAGCUAUUUACUUUCCUAUAAUAAAGACUUUGCUUGCUUGUCACCUGUGUGUUUGUGGAGUUCAUUCUUUGACUGCUGACAUCUUUCCAGCAUCACCAUCAUGUAUUCUCAUACAUAAUUUGAAUGUGAAAUUGUACACUGGGAUGAGAUGCAGGGUAUUAGGCUCCAUUUUGCUGUUAACAGCAGCAAUAUGGCCCUGUGUUUAACUGCCACUUGAUUGGGAGACUCCCUUAGAAACGUCAGAAUUUUCCUGAUUGUGGCAAAGGAGAAUAAUUUGGGAGUAACCAACUUCUAGGUUUUGAGCUGGGAAGCUGAAUCCUGCAGUAUGAUCCUGAAGAGUAAGAGUAAAUAUCUGGCAAUGAAUUAUUUUCUUUGUAGGUAUGGAAAUAUCUGUGUUGUCAGCCACUAAACCCAUCCAAAUACAUCAGACAAGAAAGAAAGGGUUAAGACAAAGUAGAAUUUUUCAAGUUCAUAUUGAACUUGAUAGUCAAGCUUUCUCAAGAGAUAAAAUAAAAUUCAAAUUUCAUUGCCUCUCUAAUGAUGGUGUUUAGGACAUGCUAUCCCAAAUUGUGGCACCAUGACAUACUGCAUAUCUUCAACUGAAAGAACCUGAAAAUGGCAAAAGCAGGAAUGUUACUCUGACCUCCCCUCAUUCACCUCUCUUCCCUGAAAGUAAAAGAUAAAUCUCUUAUGUAAAAGGUAGUCUCUCUGUACUAGAAUAAAAUAAUACAUUCUUAUCAUCUGAGAUAGGGAGUUUGGGGCUAAGAAUCUGGAUAAACAAAUCUUAUUAAAUUUACCCUUAUCUUCCCAGUUACUUCAUAUAUUUUUAUUUAUAGCUGGUUUACAAUGUUCUGUCAAAUUUAUACUGUACAGCAUGGUGACCCAGUUACACAUACAUGUAUACAUUCUUUUUUCUCACAUUAUCAUGCUCCAUCAUAAGUGACCAGACGUAGUUCCCAGUGCUACAUGGCAGGAUCUCAUUGCUAAUCCAUUCCAAGGGCAAGUCUGCAUCUAUUAACCCCAAGCACCCCAUCCAUCCAGUUACUUCUGGACCAUUUAUUAUUCUUAGCCUAAACCCCUUUGUCUUGUCACUUUUUCACAAGUAUAUUAUUUAUUUGUAUGCAAGUAUAAGAGCUUCUUGCUCUGGUCACUAUGUUGGUUUUUAAUUUCUUGUGAAGACGCCCAUGUACAUGUAAAAAUCCAAUGAAAUGUGUGUGAUUUCCUCCUGCUAAUCUGUUUUUGUCAGCUUAAUUUUCAGGCCUGGCCAGGGACACUUGCAGGGGUCAAGUAAAACUUUUUUCUCAGGAAGUGGACUAUAAUAGACUGUUGAAGAAGGGAAAAAUCUAGUAUCCACAACAGGACUAUCAUCGAUGGGACAAGAAGGGAGAUCCAAAUGAGAGAGACAGAGUUUGAAGCCUACAUGUUUUAGUCUCCUAUUUCCAUGUUUGAUACCAGAGUGGAUCAGGGGGUAAAAUCAUGAAAUGUAAAUGCAGGGGCUUUGUCUCAUUUUACAUCUGAAAUUUUAGAAAGAGUUUCCUUUGAAUGCUGCCCUAUAAUAAAAUCUUGGGCAUGACCAUAUCAAAGAGAUUCUUAAUGAGAAGUUAAUUCAACUAGAAGGAGAGGAAGAGUGAGGAAGAGUGCUGCUUUCCUGAGCACAUAUGAUAUUGUGAUUGAUUAUAAGAAAUAUAUAAUUGGUCUUUGUCCCUGUUCCUUGCAUAGAGUUCCUAAAACCCUUGGGACUUCUUAAGUGAUAAGAGCAAUAAAGAUGUCUUUUGUUAUUUAACAAGUCCCUUUCAACCACACUUGAAUUUAUGUUAAUGAUGUGACUUUUUGAAAGCUCCUAAGAAGGUGGGCUGCUUGCCAGGGUGUCCAAAUUCAGGAUCAGGUAGUAGAAACUUUUAGCUCCACAUCUCACCUUAUCCCACAUCCAUUCAGGGAGGGAAUUGGAGCUGGAGGUUGAAUCAACCACCAAUGGCCAACAAUUUAACCAUUAUGCCUAAAUAAUAAAGCCCAUUUAAUAAUCCUAAAAGACAGGCUUAGGAGAGCCUCUGGGUUAGCGAACACUUGGAGAUGCAGGAGAAGUGGCAAGUCUGGGAGUGGGCAUGGAAGUCCUUUGCCCCUUCCCCCAUACCUUGUCCUAUGCAUCUCCUUCAUCUGGCUAUUCCUGAGUUAUAUCCUUGUAUAACCAAUCAGUAAAACAGUAAGUAAAAUGUGUGAAAAAUUAGUAAAUAGAAACCUCAAUUAACAGAGUUGGGAGACCAGAAGGGAGUCCAUCAUAUCCUCACAAUAGGAGAACUUAAUGUUCCUUUAUCUGGCACAGAACUCAACCAGUCCAUACCAUGGUUUCUGCUAUAGCCUAACCUCAUUUUUUGCGAUAGUAGCCCACAUGGCAUGCUUUCUGGCUCUCAGCUUGGUUCCAUUAUACAGUCCCACUUUAUGAUACACAGAAGCAUUUGGGUCUCAUUCACACCAUUCAUGACCAUGCAGCAUGGCAAGAUGCAUACAAGUCCCCUGUAAAAAUGGAUAGGAGAAAGGAAUUUUAGAGGGAAAGGAAUUUGGGAGGGCUAUAGUAAACAAAGUAUCCACUGGAUGAAUUAACAGUUCAAAGUAGAGUGGAUUUUCAUUGGAUGAGUUUUGAUAAUCUCUCAUUGGCUGAGCUCUUGCCAGGCAAAAAGAGGAAGUCAGUCUUUCUUCCUGUUGGGAUCUGCUAUCAUCCUGAGGAUAUGAUGGACUCCUUUCAGAUUCUCAAGGGAAUUUCACAUUCAAUGAGAUUAUACGUUCAUAAAUUUUUAGUUGUGCUCAAAACCAAAAACUAUACAAAAAGUAAACAAUUUAUUGAAGGGAAUUAAUAGUGUCUCAUAUACUUUAAAUUUUAUGUGAGGUUGUUGCAAAAAUAACUCUAAUCAAAAGUAUUUUGGUUUUUAAAGAUAUAGAAAAAUUUACUCCCAUUUCACUUAUCCUAACACAGAAAUUUGCAUAUUUCUUAAAGUGUUGAAUAAACACAGAAAACUAAACAGGUAAACAAACUAUGCUAAAUAUCUGGUCUACAUGCUAUUAAGCAUUCACAUAUAUGAGAAAAAAACAAGUGAAAAUCUACAUUCUUCCGAAUAUCUGACUAUUUGAUGUUUGGCAGAUAAUACCCUUAAUUUUAAAUAUGUAAAUGCUUAAUGAUCACAUUGAUUAGAGAUUGAGAAGGAAAAUAUGCUGUGUGGCAAUGGGAGUGAGAGGAGAGAAGAAUGUUGAUCAACUAUGUUCUAACCAUGUGAACAAAUAAUCAUGGAGUUCCUGAGGCUCUCCUUUUGCAUUUUUUUGUCUGCUUGCAGGUAGAAAUUCCCAGGCCAUAUUGAUCCUGUGCCAUAGCUGCUACCUGAGCCACUGCAGUGACAACACUGGAUCUUUAACAUGCUCACCACAAGGGAACACAUUCUUUUGCUUUUUUUUUUUAUUUUUAAAUUUUAUUUUAUGGCCACACCCACAGCAUGUGGAAGUUUCUGGGCCAGGGACUGAAACUAAGCCACAGCUACACACUAUGCCGGAUCCUUUAACCCACUGUGCCAGGCAGUAUAUGGAACACAUACCUCCACAGUGACUUAAGUGGCAGAAGUCAGAUUCUUUUUUUUCUUUUUGUUUUUUGUUUUGUUUUGUUUUGUUUUGUUUUUUUGCUUUUUAGGGUCUAACUUGCAGCAUACGGAGGUUCCCAGGCUAGGGGUAAAAUCAGAGCUGCAGCUGCUGGCCUACAUCACAGUCACAGCAAUGCAGGAUCUGCAUCUGUGACUUACACCACAGCUCAUGGCAAUGCCAGAUCCUUAACCCACAUAGGGGGGCCAGGAAUCAAACCUGCAUCCUCAUGCAUAUUAGUUGGUUUUGUUGCUGCUGAGCCACAAUGGAAAUUUCUGAAGUCAGAUUCUUAACCGAAGGCACCAAGGUGGAACUCCCCUUUUGCAUUUUUAAAUUGGGGGUGAAAUACGUUUUUAGACCAUUUCACAGUUUUUUUCUUUUGGAAACGUGAUCAAAUUUCAUUAUGUCAUACAGUCAUUUUGCAACCUUUAGGGUUCCAAAUAAGUAGACAGUUUUCUUGCUUUUAAAUAUUUUUUACCUUUGAUUACUGUUAGUACUGACCAAAGAAAUAAUUGAUAGCUUAAGGUUUUCUCUUUUCUUUAUACAUAAUGGUGAAAGGAAAUACACAUUCACUUAAUUUCUUUACUCUUGCCCAAUUCCUCUAAUGAUAAAAGUCAUUUCAAAGGACAAAUGACAUGAAUAUUGUAUAAUUGCCAUUCUCAACUGUUUUAUCCUAGAUUUUAGCAUAUUUAAUCUUUCUGAAACAACUGGCACUCCUUCUUAUACAAUCCCAUUCAGGUCUCAAUGUGGUAUUCAGGCCAAUUUCCAUUUCAAAUAUAAGAAACCAAACUAGCAAAAAAAAAAAAAAAAAAAA